rnacentral:lncRNA from 1 species
CACAGAACAGGGCUUCUAAUUUUCUGCCUCAAGGCGAAGAGAGGUUUCACCUUACUGCUGUAGAAAGGAGGUCCACAGUCCCAUCUUUGACGAUAAAUGACAGCCACUGACAUGAAGAGCAUCAGUUAUAAAUAAGAGCGUCACAGGGAGGAAGAAAGGCCUCCCUGCUGUGCUUCAUGUCAAGCCUGAGAGCUGACUUGAUGAUACCCAUUCCUCCUGAUAUUCCCUGACUCAUGCCACGC